rnacentral:rRNA from 1 species
GGACGAACGCUGGCGGCGUGCUUAACACAUGCAAGUCGAACGGAAAGGCCCUGCUUUUGUGGGUUGCUCGAGUGGCGAACGGGUGAGUAACACGUGAGUAACCUGCCCUUGACUUUGGGAUAACUUCAGGAAACUGGGGCUAAUACCGGAUAGGAGCUCCUGCUGCAUGGAGGGGGUUGGAAAGUUUCGGCGGCUGGGGAUGGACUCGCGGCUUAUCAGCUUGUUGGUGGGGUAGUGGCUUACCAAGGCUUCGACGGGUAGCCGGCCUGAGAGGGUGACCGGCCACAUUGGGCCUGAGAUACGGCCCAGACUCCUACGGGAGGCAGCAGUGGGGAAUAUUGCACAAUGGGCGGAAGCCUGAUGCAGCAACGCCGCGUGCGGGAUGACGGCCUUCGGGUUGUAAACCGCUUUCGCCUGUGACGAAGCGUGAGUGACGGUAAUGGGUAAAGAAGCACCGGCUAACUACGUG